CUUGCCCCAGCUCGGCGGGGCCCUGCCCCUCGCCAGGGGAGCCGGACCCGGGGGAAGGAAGGGGCGAGAGCGAGCGAGCUGCUGAGCGCAGGGCCUGGCCCCGUGCCACGGGGCGGAGCAGCGGCGAGCCCCGAGCGCGUUAAAAGCCCCUUUGGCGGAGCAGCGCAGCAAACCCUCCGCGCAAGGGAGGCAACCGCGGCGUCUGCAGCCUCCGGUCCGCGGGAACGCGGCUCUCCAGGCCCGGCGGGAACUGGCGGGACGGGACGGGAGCGCCUGGCUGAAUGCGGCGGCCCCCCCGGGCGCUCUGAGACCCGCAAGAUGAGCGCUGCUCUGCCCAGCCUGCUGGCCUGGCUGGCGGUGCUGCUGCUCGGGAGGGCGGCGCGCCCGGCCGACGCCUGCAGCUGCUCCCCGGUGCACCCGCAGCAGGCCUUCUGCAACGCCGACCUGGCCUCCAACUCCCGCGGAGCCCUUCCCAGGGCAGGAGCUGCUGGUGUCCCAUCUCUGCCCAGCAAGUGCUGAGCCAGCCUGUGCCCGUGCGAGCUGGACGGGGCCUGCUCGGUCACAGCCCGCUGGCUCUGGCGCGAGACCGGAACAGACGCCUGCUGUCCUCCUCGUGUGCCGUGUGCCAUCUGCCUCUGCCGCUCGGGCCAUUCGCCUUUCAGCUGAGAAUCCUUUCUGCUUCAGCUGUUGCCAUCACCCCUGCCACCUAGCUACCGGUGGGUGCCCUCCCUGAGCUCCCUGCUCCCUCCAGCCUGUGGGACCAGACACACGCGGCCUAAAGUGGGGCCUCCUGACUUACCUCCUCUUUCACCACCUUGCAGUUAUCAAAUUCAGUGCACAUUUUAUGGUUCCCUGCAGUAAUGCCUUUAAGCCUCGUCGUCCUCCAGGCCUGGCUGGAUUGGCCUGCUGGUGUGUGGGAGGCUGCGUAGACGAAGCUUAAACAGCAACGCACCCGAUAGUGACAUCUUGUAGCUCUCUCCGGACCCAGCGCCAGCCUCAAACCGAACUUGAGCUUCUCCGGGUUUGUGGCCUCAGGGCUUCUGCCUGUUUAAUUGGAGGUGGGGCUGGGUGGGAGAGGGUGUGUCAGUCCGUGCUGCCAGGGGUGUGCCUGUCUGGUAGGGUGAGAAUCCCCAAGGCCAUUCUCGCUCUCUGGGUUCUGAAUCCAUCAGCGGGGACGGGAGGAAGAUCCUCCUCGAAGUCUGAGCUUUGUUCUCUGUGUCCCCCGCGCUCAGCCUGGGCAGUGGGCCUGUGGCGGGCGAGCACCAGGCACAAACGGAGCUGUCUGUUCUGGUGGUUUGGCUCCAUACAGCUGAGCCCCUAAUGACAAAAACUAGCAUUGCACAUUGCCAUCUUGAUUGACUCAAGCUAGCGGUGACGCCCUGGGGAAGGCGAGAGCUUUGUCAGUGCUGUUGCUGAUUGGAUGCUGUGUCCGAAGGGUCCGGUUGGGAAUGCUGAGCAGAGAGCCGGGCCCUGCCCUGGGGAGUGGGCCGUGUUGGGUUGGGUCACCUUCUGUCUGUUC
rnacentral:lncRNA from 1 species